AUAUGGGAGAUCAUUUGAACUCCCUCCCAUUUUCUCCUAGCCCUAACCGAGAAGCAAACCACCGGCGAUUUAACUGUACAGCCGACGUUCGUGAGUGUGAAGUACACCGGAGGCAAGAAAUCAAGUGGCGAUAAGUAUGCUUGUCUCCUUCUUCUUCGAAUUCUCAUCUCAUUAUUCCGACGCCUGCGGUCAUCAACCAUCAGAACGAAGGUCCACCAGGGGAACUGGUACUCUCCCCACCGUAUCAUUCGAACCCUACCCUGUUACCAGAUCAUCGGCAACCAACACCAACCGACGUCCAUGAGGAGCUUCUAUCCAAAAUGUGACUGUUAUAAGCUACAAGUCUCUUGAUAAUGAAAUUCAAACUAGCUCCUUACUAGAAAUUGCUGGUUUCCGGAGACGUACUAGUUUCCUGUCAUGAAGAUCAAUACUACUUUGGCCAUGCUUAAUUUUGGUAGGUAUGCUUUACCACAUUAAACCAAGUAAUGCAUUAGUUUGUUUACAGAAGUGCAAAGAGUUGAAGGUUAGUCUAAGCUAUAUUUUCUGUUUCCUUACCUAUUUUCAUUACUGAAGUUUAGUUUUUGGAGGAAGUUCCAUUUGAUGUUGCUCCGCAUUCUCUAUGGAAGCUUAACACCAUUGGGGCCUGUUCAAGAUACUAGGUACUGGAAACAAGGCCAAUCUACUGGAAACAAGUUGAUGCCAUUCAUUGGGUACCCUAGAGUUGGCAUGUGGCAAUUCAUGCCACCUKCUGCAAUUGGUGUGCCUUACAAGAUCAUGUUCUCCGCCCCCUGGUUUCUUAAGCUGGAAGAUCUUGGUGAUAGAUUAGCCUUAAUGUGCCUGAAGAAAUGUUCAGUGUCUUUGAUCUUUUUUUUUUUGGAAAAUUUUCGUGUUGACUUCAUUUUAAAACAUUCAGAAUAUUGUAAUUUUGCUAACCCGGUAUGCUAGUGUUGCUCAUUUCAGAAUCAUUCUGUUCCUUGGGUUAAUUUUAUUGUCCUAUGCGUGGUGUUGUCUAAACACCAAGAGGCAGACAAAACUGCUCA